UACGUAGGUGGCAAGCGUUGUUCGGAAUUAUUGGGCGUAAAGGGCGCGUAGGCGGUUUGUUAAGUCGGUCGUGAAAGCCCGGGGCUCAACCCCGGAGGGUCGACCGAUACUGGCAGACUAGAGUUCGGUAGGGGAGACUGGAAUUCCUGGUGUAGCGGUGAAAUGCGCAGAUAUCAGGAGGAACACCGGUGGCGAAGGCGGGUCUCUGGGCCGAAACUGACGCUGAGGAGCGAAAGCGUGGGGAGCAAACAGG
rnacentral:rRNA from 1 species